ACAUGCUUACAAUAUAACAUUAAUGCACCAGAUCCCAUUAGAACUACACAGUUAAGUGUGCUCAGGAUAAACUAGUACUAGGAUGGGUGACUACCUGAGAAGUCCUAGUGUUUUACAUGCC
rfam:Picea glauca, whole genome shotgun sequence.